AUGCCCGCGGACGUGUCCUGGGCCACCUGCCUUGAAAAUGUUCACUGCCAGCCUCUUGACCAUGUGCGCCGGGGCCAAAGCGGUGCACAGGUACUCCUGGCCGGACCUGACAAUACCUGAAAUUCCACCAAAGCCUGGAGGACUCAAAACGGAACUUUUGGAACCGAAAAAGAGACAACAUGAACCUCAAAUUUCUCAACAAUAGAAACCUCAAAAUACUUAACUCUGCCAAGAACUCCGUGAAUAAUAUUAUAAGUAUUAAAUAUAUAUUUUUAAAGUUUAUUGAGUCAAACUGGUUGUCUUUAAGCAUCUAAUGCAAUGCUAACUGCAAGAGGUGCCCAGGUGUUAACUGAUGCAUUGAGAUUUAAUUAUGGAUUGACCAGUGUUUCUUGAAAACUGCCAAAGUUUAUAUCAUCAGCUUUUUGAAUGUGUUUGAAUAGAUACUUAGUCUUGGAUAUCAUGUGAGAAUGAAUAUUUACAGUGUUUCCUGCCCUUAUAAUUCUGGUUUAUUUCUAUGAAUAAGCUUGACUAGCAUGACAAAUGGGAAUUAUAAAUUAACUAUAAUAAAAGUGUCAUUGACAAUGAAAAAAAUAAAA